ACGGCUCAGUAACACGUAGUCAACAUGCCCAGGGGACGUGGAUAACCUCGGGAAACUGAGGAUAAACCGCGAUAGGCCAAGAUUUCUGGAAUGGAUCAUGGCUGAAAUCUACAUGGCCCCUGGAUUGGACUGCGGCCGAUCAGGCUGUUGGUGAGGUAAUGGCCCACCAAACCUGUAACCGGUACGGGCCCUGAGAGGAGGAGCCCGGAGAUGGGCACUGAGACAAGGGCCCAGGCCCUAUGGGGCGCAGCAGGCGCGAAACCUCUGCAAUAGGCGAAAGCUUGACAGGGUUACUCUGAGUGAUGUCCGUUAAGGGCAUCUUUUGGCACUUCUAAAAAUAGUGUAGAAUAAGGGGUGGGCAAGUCUGGUGUCAGCCGCCGCGGUAAUACCAGCACCCCGAGUGGUCGGGACGAUUAUUGGGCCUAAAGCAUCCGUAGCCGGUUCUGCAAGUCUUCCGUUAAAUCCACCUGCUCAACAGAUGGGCUGCGGGGGAUACUACAGGGCUAGGAGGCGGGAGAGGCAAGCGGUACUCGGUGGGUAGGGGUAAAAUCCUCUGAUCCACCGAAGACCACCAGUGGCGAAGGCGGCUUGCCAGAACGCGCUCGACGGUGAGGGAUGAAAGCUGGGGGAGCAAACCGGAUUAGAUACCCGGGUAGUCCCAGCUGUAAACGAUGCAGACUCGUGGAUUGGGUUGGGCUUUGAGCCAACCCAGUGCCGCAGGGAAGCCGUUAAGUCUGCCGCCUGGGGAGUACGGUCGCAAGACUGAAACUUAGGGGAAUUGGCGGGGGAG
rnacentral:rRNA from 1 species